rnacentral:hammerhead_ribozyme from 1 species
AUCCAGCUGUGACGAGUCCCAAAUAGGACAAAAUGAGCAUCCUGGAU